UGCAAACAAGGCUAGCUUCUAGUAGCUUCGAGUGGGAUGGAGAGGGAGCAAGACCUAAUCAUAACCGUCGUCGUCGCCAUCGCCCUGCCGUUGCUACCGCCACAGCCACCGCCACUGCUACAGCCAUUCAUCUGCCAGCGGCGAAGAAAGCGAUGAAAAGCAAAGCUUCUCCUCCAAAAACAAAUUCUCUUCCCGCAAUGCUUCUUCCAAGUACGAUUUCAUUAAGGUGAAGGUGCGGUUGGGUGAUAAUGCGGAUCACUACUAUGUUCUGUCUAGAUUUUCGCUCAGUAGGUGCGGUUGGAUGAUAAUGCUGCAAUGUGGAUUCGAUUUGGAAAAUGGCCAGUGCUGGUUUAUCUGAAACUCUUUUGUCAGGAAUUGGAAAUUUGAGCCAUCUCCGAACAUUGUUACUACAGAACAAUCAGUUAUCUGGUCCUAUCGCGGCUGAGAUAGGCAAGUUGUCAGAGCUUCAAACACUAGACCUUUCCAGUAACCAGUUUGUUGGAGGAAUUCCUAGUUCUUUGGGCUUAUUGUCUCAACUAAGUUACUUCUUUUCAGGUGGCUCAGCAAAAAUAAUCUAUCUGGACAGAUCCCUCCACUUGUUACUAACUUGACAGGUCUUUCAUUUUUGCAUGUCCUCUACUCCUCUAUGAAACUUUGUAAUACCUUUACCUCCUCAAUCAGUCAAGUACAGUUCCAUAACCUUAUAUUUUUUGAAGGGACUUGUCAUUUAAUAAUCUCAGUGGUCCCACUCCAAAAAUUUUGGCAAAAGGUUACAUUAUUUCAGGAAAUAACUUCCUUUGUACAUCUCCUUCUGAACAUUGUAUGGACAUUUCAAAACCACUAAACGAAUUUCAGGUUUUUAUGAUGGCUGAGUCAGGAGUGAAAAAAUUCAGCCUAAACAUCAAGAAGACUGGAAAAGGUGUGCUCCCUAAAAAUGAAAAAGGUCCAUAUUACUAAUGCUAAAAUAUGGAAUGCAUAGGAUCUAAGUAUCAAGGAACUGGCUGAAUAGAUCAGCUUGAGAAGGGAAUGGUACGCAUAAAAGAAGAUCUAUCUUUGAAGCAUAUUUUAGAUGAGAUAGAGACGGGUGGUCCUACUGCUAUGAUGAGGUUUGGAUGGCAAAAUUUCUUAUCUUUUUGGCCAUUUCAAAAUUUCUAUCAGUUCAAUGUUUUCCAAAUUUUAAAUAGUUUCUGAAGUGUUUCAGGUUGUUUGUGCAAUUUGUAACACUGAGCAGCCGAUAGGAAAACAACAGAUUCAUUGUGACGAGUGUGAAAUCUGUAGGGUUGGUGGUCAAGAGAACUAUUUCCACUGUGAAAAGUGUGGGUCAUGCUAUUUAGUUACACUACGUGACAAUCAUUUGUGUGGAGAACUCCAUGGGCAUGUGCAUUACUGAAGCUUCUGUUAUUGCAAUUAUGUAGUUAUAUGAUAUUAAAACAUUGAAGUUAUUUUAUUUUAUUUUUUUUAAUGAAAAGCAAGUAAUAGUUAUGAAGAACAAUAUCAUAUGUAAUUAUGUUUGGAAUUAUUGACAUUGAGAACUUUUAUAUAUAGA